AGCGAACGCUGGCGGCAGGCCUAACACAUGCAAGUCGAACGGAUCCUUCGGGAUUAGUGGCGGACGGGUGAGUAACACGUGGGAACGUGCCCUUUGGUUCGGAACAACUCAGGGAAACUUGAGCUAAUACCGGAUGUGCCCUUCGGGGAAAGAUUUAUCGCCAUUGGAUCGGCCCGCGUCUGAUUAGCUAGUUGGUGAGGUAAAGGCUCACCAAGGCGACGAUCAGUAGCUGGUCUGAGAGGAUGAUCAGCCACAUUGGGACUGAGACAAGGCCCAAACGCCUACGGGAGGCAGCAGUGGGGAAUCUUGCGCAAUGGGCGAAAGCCUGACGCAGCCAUGCCGCGUGAAUGAUGAAGGUCUUAGGAUUGUAAAAUUCUUUCACCGGGGACGAUAAUGACGGUACCCGGAGAAGAAGCCCCGGCUAACUUCGUGCCAGCCGCCGCGGUAAUAC
rnacentral:rRNA from 1 species